UGAAUACGAGACGCUAAGGCGUCGAAGUAGUGUAUGUCAUACUUCCAAGAAAAGCUUGCACUGUCAUAGAUAAAAAACGCCUGUACCAUAACCGACACAGGUGGGUAGGUAGAGUAUGCUAAGGGGCGCGAUAUAACUCUCUCUAAGGAACUCGGCAAAAUAACUCCGUAACUUCGGGAGAAGGAGUGCCUUAUUCUUAAGGUUGCAAUAACAAGAUCCAAGCAACUGUUUAUCAAAAACACAGGUCUCCGCUAAGUCGUAAGACGAUGUAUGGGGGCUGACGCCUGCCCAGUGCCAGAAGGUUAAAGAAGCUGGUUAGCAUUUGCGAAGCUAGUAACUGAAGCCCUGGUGAACGGCGGCCGUAACUAUAACGGUCCUAAGGUAGCGAAAUUCCUUGUCGGGUAAGUUCCGACCCGCACGAAAGGCGUAAUGAUUUGGAUACUGUCUCGGAGAGGGGCUCGGUGAAAUAGACUUGUCUGUGAAGAUGCGGACUACCUGCACCAGGACAGAAAGACCCUAUGAAGCUUUACUGUAACUUGAAAUUGAAAUUGGACUUUAUUCGCGCAGUAUAGGUGGGAGGCGUUGAUUAUAAUCUUGCGGGAUUAUUGGAGCCAUUAGUGAGAUACCACUCUUGUAAUGUUAGAUUUCUAACUUUGAAUCAUUAUCUGGUCAAAGAACAGUUUCAGGCGGGCAGUUUGACUGGGGCGGUCGCCUCCCAAACGGUAACGGAGGCGUACAAAGGUUUCCUCUGAACGGUUAGAAAUCGUAUCUAGAGUGUAAAGGCAUAAGGAAGCUUGACUGUGAGACCUACAAGUCGAGCAGGGACGAAAGUCGGUCUUAGUGAUCUGACGGUACUGAGUGGAAAGGCCGUCACUCAACGGAUAAAAGUCACUCUAGGAUAACAGGCUGAUCUCCCCCAAGAGUUCACAUCGACGGGGAGGUUUGGCACCUCGAUGUCGGCUCAUCGCAUCCUGGGGCGGUAGUACGUCCCAAGGGUUGGGCUGUUCGCCCAUGAAAGCGGUACGCGAGCUGGGUUCAGAACGUCGUGAGACAGUUCGGUCCAUAUCCGGUGUAGGCGUUAGAAUAUUGAGAGGAGCCUUCUUUAGUACGAGAGGACCGAGAAGGACAUACCUCUGGUGUACCAGUUAUCGUGCCAACGGUAGACGCUGGGUAGCUAUGUAUGGAGUGGAUAACCGCUGAAAGCAUCUAAGUGGGAAGCCCACCUCAAGAUAAG
rnacentral:rRNA from 1 species